AAGAUUAAGCCAUGCAUGUCCAAGUAUAAACCUUUAUACGGUGAAACUGCGAAUGGCUCAUUAUAUCAGUUAUAAUUUACUUGAUGGUCUCUUUACUACUUGGAUAACCGUGGUAAUUCUAGAGCUAAUACAUGCAAAGGGCCCGCAAGGGCGGUAUUUAUUAGAUAAGAACCAAUGCCAGCAAUGGCGUGUGGCGAGUCACGAUAACUGUGCGGAUCGCAU
rnacentral:rRNA from 1 species